GCAAAGUUGCAUUUUUCACAAAUGUGUUGUUCAAUAUGUGCAUUUGCAACGUUUUGUUGUUUAAAGAUGUGACACUGUUGCAAAUGCUGCUUGAAAAAUAGGGUUAGUUCUGUCUGGAAGUUGCAGUCCUUGCAGAUGUAAGUUUCAACAUUGGAAUAUUCACAGUUGGAAGGCAGUAAAAUGGAUUAGUGACGUCUCACAUGGUUUAUCAUAAUGAAGAGCGAUGUUGUAAAAUAUGGACACAAUUUACAGUGGUGGACAUUGUUAUGAGGUUUCACAUAAGCGAAUUCCUCAGAAUAUUCCAGUAUAGACAUUUUGAUUUAUCUAAAAUUGAUUAUUUUUUCACUUGUAGAACAUAACCUCAAAGAGCCAUACACAGUGUAUAAAAUUUUCCUUUGUAAUUCUUGCUUUGGCUAGCUACUUAACAAAAACCCCCAGAAUAGGCGUCUUUUUUAUUUUUGAUCGCACGUUAUAAUAAAGCAUCUAUUAAUUCUUUUUUCUCUAUAAAUGUUUUAUGGGUUGCCUAUAGCAUACUUAACCUUAACCUCUGUUUGACCUUUGAGGUUAUGUUGGUUUAUCAAUGAAUUGAAAAAACCUAGACUUUUCUUUGAGCAAAAUAAAAAAAUAUUGCUUCUAGAUCGUAGCAUCGAUGUGAAGACAAGCUUAAUUUUGUCGUUAAUUAGUAAAAUUUUCAUCAGGUUGCAAAGUCACAUAAAUGUCGAUUUUGGAAUAUUCCAAAAAGUUCCCGCCUUUGAGGCCACCCGAAAAUGCCCACGUUGGACGUCUUCGUUCAUCACUGCUAUAUUUUAACUGUGAAAGUACGAAGAUUGAAACUUACUGCUGCAAAGACUGCGAUUUCGAGACAGAACUAACCCUGCUUUACAAGCAGCAUGUUGAAAAACGCCACAACAUUAAAUUAAAAAACCACGAAAAAUCGGAGGAGGAAUUCACCAUAGAAAACUAUAUUUGUGAAAAAUGCAGCUUCGACACUCACUUCUCCCUCAAGUGGCUUCAGCACUCCGUCGCGUGCUUGGGAAAUCUAGAAAAUUACCACAUAACAACUUCUGCCAAAGACGCUGACAAUAAUUUUUUCAUAUGGCAUCACUGUGACCAGUGUGAGUACAAAUGCAAAUAUAAAUACUCCAUAAAAAUACACAACAUUUCAAAGCACUUAAGUGCAGAUGAAAUACGUUGGUAUUACUGCUCACAAUGUACAUACAAAGCCAAACAGAAACACCAUUUAAAAAAACACAUAUAUUCCAUGCAUGCAGACGAACAACACGUUAAAUGGCACGACUGCAAAAGCUGCCAAUUUAAGUCAAAAAGUAAGUCGUCUUUGCGCAAUCACGUAAAAAUGCGCCACUCGGACGAAAAGGACAUUAAAUGGCACGAGUGCAAAAGCUGUCCUUACAAAGCUAAACAAAAAUCGACGUUGGAUAGACACAUAAACGCGCACCAUUUAGAUAAUCAAGACAUUAAAUGGUACAAAUGCCAAAAGUGUCCAUACAAAAGUAAGCAAAAUUUUCACUUGAAACUACACAUGGUCGCGCGCCAUUUGGACGACGGGGAUAUUAAAUGGUACGAAUGCCAGAAGUGCCCAUACAAAGCUAAACGAAGUUCGCAUUUAAGAAAUCAUAUCUUUGGGCACCAUUUUGACGAACAAGACGUUAAAUGGUACAAAUGUACCAAGUGUCCAUACAAGGCCGUUCGGCAUGAUGGUUUGAAACGUCAUUUGAAAGUAACUCAUUUGAAUGAAGAGGAGAUUGAGUGGUUCAAGUGCCCGAAGUGUGCGUAUAAAGCUAAGUAUAAAUCGUCCUUGAAGAGACAUUUCAGCACGCAGCACGAAAAAAUUGUGAGAUGGUACGAAUGCGAAUUUUGUGCAUUCAAGACUAAACGUAAGUCGUCGCUAACCAGACAUGUAAGCGCGCGCCAUUUUGCGUAAUUGAUGUAAAAUAAAUAUAUAUGUGAUGUCUGUUCAGACUCAGAGUCAGGAGUAUACUGUCAGGAGUAUACUGGUUUUAUUCAGAUAUAAAGUAUGGUUACAUAUGUACACAAUAGGUAGGCAACACAUCUUACA